rnacentral:rRNA from 1 species
GCUGCAACUCGCCUGUAUGAAGUCGGAAUUGCUAGUAAUCGCGGAUCAGCAUGCCGCGGUGAAUACGUUCCCGGGCCUUGUACACACCGCCCGUCACACCAUGAGAGCCGGGAACACCCGAAGUCCGUAGUCUAACCGCAAGGAGGACGCGGCCGAAGGUGGGUUUGGUAAUUGGGGUGAAGUCGUAACAAGGUAGC